AGAUGUUGUUCGAGAAAAGUUCAAGAUUUAAAGAUGGACCAGUGAUAGCACAAAGGAAAUACAAAUUCGCUAAAAACAUACAAUUAAUUAUCUCAUAUACUACUCAAUAAUACCAAUAACGAAUAUCAAAAACACUCGAACGGAGACAAGUAAAUAACAAUUAAUAUAUAAUAAAUAAGAAAAAUAUAAUGAAUGAAAUAAUGCUGAUAAAAUAUUUGGGUGGUAAACGAACAUUUAGUUGUUAGCAACCUAUUUCCUAACGAUCUGUUUCUUGCUGAGCUUAGAAUAAAGACUGGCAUGAGUAAAUUUUGAUCAGCGUGGUUUCAGAUAGGCUGGGGCAGGGUAUUGAAGAGGGUGUGGGGGAAGGGUGUAUUCUGGGUGGGCCGUGAAACUAAGCAAGAAGGGCGUGUUCUGGCCAGAAUCAGUAUAUUUAUAGCUAUCCAGUGAUGCAAUAUAUGCGUUUGUUUGAAUGUAUCUAUAUUAAGAUGGUUGUUAUACAAAUGUUUAUGAGCGCAAUGGUAAAAAUAUUUUCAUGAUGUGAAAGAUGUAAAAUUUCAUCUUUCACCGAAAGAAAAUAGUUUUACUAUUGCACGAAUAACAUUCAUUAUUUCAUAUCUGUGUUAUAUGACACCAAAAU